rnacentral:tRNA from 1 species
UGGGGCGUGGCCAAGUGGUAAGGCGCCUGACUCUGGAUCAGGAGAUCGGAGGUUCGACCCCUCCCGCCCCAGCCA